rnacentral:rRNA from 1 species
UACGGGGGGGGCAAGCGUUGUUCGGAAUUACUGGGCGUAAAGGGCUUGUAGGCGGCCAACUAAGUCAGACGUGAAAUCCCUCAGCUUAACUGGGGAACUGCGUCUGAGACUGAUUGGCUCGAGGACAGGAGAGGAACGCGGAAUUCCAGGUGUAGCGGUGAAAUGCGUAGAUAUCUGGAGGAACACCGGUGGCGAAGGCGGCGUUCUGGACUGUUUCUGACACUGAAUAACGAAAGCCAGGGGAGCAAACGGG